GUCUGGCACAUUCGUUGAAUGUCGGAUUGAUGCAUGAGUAAUUCAUAGAAGAAGGAAGAAAGGAAAGAAGGGAGGGAGGAGGCUAGUAUUUCUAGUGUUGUCAUGUUCAAGCCUUCUGCCAAUCACUUUACAUGUGACUGCAUUUAAUCUCCUCAGGACAUAAUGAUCCACAAAUUCACUGACUCAGAAUAUUGAAGAGUGACCGUGGGCCAGGCUCUCGGCUAGACACUGCGGGGAGAGGGAGAAGUGAACAAGGCUCGCGCCCUUGGAAUGUUGACUUGAGCGGCGCGUGUGCAAACGGGAUGCAGAGAGACAAUACUCAGGAUAGAGAAGGUCAUCCCACCACAAGAAAAUUUGUCCAAGGGCAUGCACAUCCUGGAAAUUGACUCUGCCUAUCUUUAGGAGGUCCCCUAGUUCCUGGAUGGUGGAAGUGUUUUCAGGAGAUAUUUUGGUAAUGGGCCCAAUGGUAAUAAUUGUUUAAUAGUUUUAAUGAACUG
rnacentral:lncRNA from 1 species